AGCGAACGCUGGCGGCAGGCCUAACACAUGCAAGUCGAACGGACCCUUCGGGGUUAGUGGCGGACGGGUGAGUAACACGUGGGAACGUGCCUUUAGGUUCGGAAUAGCUCCUGGAAACGGGUGGUAAUGCCGAAUGUGCCCUUCGGGGAAGAUUUAUCGCCUUUAGAGCGGCCCGCGUCUGAUUAGCUAGUUGGUGAGGU
rnacentral:rRNA from 1 species